GAUGAACGCUGGCGGCGUGCCUAAUACAUGCAAGUCGAGCGAACAGACGAGGAGCUUGCUUCUCUGACGUUAGCGGCGGACGGGUGAGUAACACGUGGAUAACCUACCUAUAAGACUGGGAUAACUUCGGGAAACCGGAUCUAAUACCGGAUAAUAUAUUGAACCGCAUGGUUCAAUAGUGAAAGACGGUUUUGCUGUCCCUUAUAGAUGGAUCCGGGCCGGAUUAGCUAGUUGGUAAGGUAACGGCUUACCAAGGCAACGAUGCGUAGCCGACCUGAGAGGGUGAUCAGCCACACUGGAACUGAGACACGGUCCAGACUCCUACGGGAGGCAGCAGUGGGGAAUCUUCCGCAAUGGGCGAAAGCCUGACGGAGCAACGCCGCGUGAGUGAUGAAGGUCUUCGGAUCGUAAAGCUCUGUUAGUAGGGAAGAACAAAUGUGUAAGUAACUAUGCACGUCUUGACGGUACCUAAACAGAAAGCCACGGCUAACUACGUG
rnacentral:rRNA from 1 species